AUGGAUGCAACACUUGUUGGAAGAUAUGUUGUGGUGCAUGGACAGAUAGUCCUUCAACAGUUCGCAAAUUAUCGAGAUGAGUCCAUUCGAUGGUGCACCUUCGUCAUAGGCCUAGUCAACAAGUUUGAAGAAAGAGGGCACACAAAGCUAGCAAUGAAGAAUAAAUCUCAAGUGGUGAGAGGAGAGAACCUGAACCCAAGUGCAAAAAUGGCCCCAAUAUCAAAUGAAAUCUUAUGCAUGCGACAACCACAAAGUUGGUCAGCAGUAUAUUUGGUGAUUGCUAUGCAACCCAUUUCCCAGAGGAUUCAAAGGUGGGGGAUGAGAAUGAUGAGUAAAAGGUAUUUGAGGAGGAACAGGAGGAAAAUGAAGAAGAUGAUGUUGAGGGGAAGGCUCAAGUUGGUGAGGAACAUGUUUCGAGGACCUCGGCAUCAACACGGUCUAGAAAUACAUCAUCAUAUGCUUGUGAAGAAAUAG
rnacentral:rRNA from 1 species